UACAGAGGUCCCGAGCGUUGUUCGGAUUUACUGGGCGUAAAGGGCGCGUAGGCGGCCUCCGCAAGUCAGUUGUGAAAUCUCCGAGCUUAACUCGGAAAGGUCAACUGAUACUGCAGGGCUAGAGUGCGGAAGGGGCAACUGGAAUUCUUGGUGUAGCGGUGAAAUGCGUAGAUAUCAAGAGGAACACCUGCGGCGAAGGCGGGUUGCUGGGCCGACACUGACGCUGAGGCGCGAAAGCUAGGGGAGCGAACGGG
rnacentral:rRNA from 1 species